AGCGAGGGCGCCCUCUCGCUCUCCUGCUCUCGUUUCGCUCUCUCUCUCCUGCUCCGGUUUCCCGGUGAAUGAUAGCCUAUCAACCGAGCGGUUUGCCUAUUCCGUACAGAGCAAGAGCCACGCUUAAAAAGAGAGGCGCAUCUUCAAAUCGCACUACUGGGCUACAGAAACGACAGCCAGAGCACAUUGGAACUAGGGGGUAGAUUACCAACGGCAACACAUUUUUUUAAAGUUUCACCUGUGGCGGGAGCACAUUGAAAGCACAACCUGAGGACUGUUUAUUCAACUUCAACGGAUUUAGCGAACACAAGUGACUACACUGCCCGGCGGAUGAUAAGCGUUCGGGACCGGGGUUGUUGUUUUCGCGGGGAAUCAGGUUAACAUUACCAGAGCAAGAUGAAGUCGGCAGGGGUGGUGGAAGGAGGACUGUUCACAGAGAGUUACUGCAACAUCUGUAACGCCCAGCUCAUCUCCGAGUCGCAACGCACAGCACACUAUGAGAGUAAGAAACAUGCCAACAAGGUCCGUCUCUUUUACAUGUUACACCCAGAAGACGGUGGCCCACCGUCCAAGAGACUGAGACCAGACAACCCGGGCAGUGCAGAGACAGAGGUGGACAGGAAUAAGUGCUGUACUUUGUGUAAUAUGUUCUUCACGUCGGCCAUCGUGGCCCAGUCUCACUACCAGGGAAAGACACAUGCUAAGAGAGUACGACUGGUACUGGGAGAAACACCCAGCAUACCUACUGCUACCAACAGCCCUACCACCACAGACUCAUCCCCUUCUACCCCCCAGCCCAGUGACUCCACCCCUCCCCAUGCCUCACCUGCCCUACCAUGGCCCUCCUCUCUAGCACCCCCGGUGGCGGUGGUGGGUAGUGGUGGUGGGAGUGGUGAGACAGGGAAGUACUGCUGUCUGUGUGGAGCCUGGUUCAACAAUCCUCUGAUGGCCCAGCAACACUACGAGGGGAAAAAACAUCGCAGGAAUGCAGCCAGAGUGCGACUACUGGAGCAGCUAGCUGGCAGUCUGGACGCUACUGAAACUACAGGGUCACUUUGGUGGGAUCAUGUCAUAAAUCAUGGCCUGACGAUGAGGGAGGCUGGGCAGAGAGUCCAACCCAACCUGUGUUGCUACACGGUAGCAUCCAUAAUACGGACAUUUAGACUGCAGAACAGGUAUGUCUUCAACUUUCUACACAAGACUGUACCUAUGUAAUUGUUGCACAUCAUUCUGCAUCACAGUACAAUACAAUGUAAUCCUACAAUAUUAGGUCUAUGCUCCUCAGUGAACAAAAAAAAUAGGUAUAUUGCUGUGAAGUACAUGUAAUACAGUUUUGAUGUUAUUGUGUACAGUAUGACAGUACAGUACAGUGGCUUGCGAAAGUAUUCAACCCCCUUGGCAUUUUUUCUAUUUUGUUGCCUUACAACCUGGAAAUAAAAUUGAGUUUUGGGGGGUUUGUAUCAUUUGAUUUACACAACAUGCCUACCACUUUGAAGAUGCAAAAUAUUUUUGGGGUGUGAAACAAACAAGAAAUAAGACAAAAAACUGAAAACUUGAGAAUGCAUAACUAUUCACCCCCCCUCCCCUAAAGUCAAUACUUUGAAGAGUCACCUUUUGCAGCAAUUACAGCUGCAAGUCUCUUGGGGUAUGUCUCUAUAAUCUUGGCACAUCUAGCCACUGGGAUUUUUGCCCAUUCUUCAAGCCAAACCUGCUCCAGCUCCUUCAAGUUGGAUGGUGUACAGCUAUCUUUGAGUCUUACCACAGCUUCUCAAUUGGAUUGAGGUCUGGGCUUUGACUAGGCCAUUCCAAGACAUUUAAAUGUUUCCAUUUAAACCAUUCGAGUGUUGCUUUAGCAUUAUGCUUACAAAACAAUAAACGUGAACAAAACCGAAAACAGUACCGUGUGGUGAACAAACACAAACACAGACACGGAAACAAUCACCCACAAAACAACAGUGAAACCCAGGCUACCUAAGUAUGAUUCUCAAUCAGAGACAACUAACGACACCGGACACAGAAAACCAACCUAGAAACAGAAAACAUAGAAUGCCCCCCCAACUCACGUCCUGACCAGCUAAAACAGACAAAUAACACAAGAACUAGGGUCAGAACGUGACAGUACCCCCCACCCCCCCAAGGUGCGGACUCUGGCCGCAAAACCUGAACCGAUAGGGGAGGGUCUGGGUGGGCAUCUGUCCACGGUGGCGGCUCCUGCCCUGGACGUGGACCCCACUCCACCAUAGUCUUAGUCCGCCUCUGUGGCCUCCUAGGAACGGCGACCCUUGCCACCGACCCUGACCUGAGAAUCCUAAUAAAUAGGCCCACAGGACUGAGGGACACUUCCGGACAUAACAAACUCCUCCGGACUGAGGGAUAGCUCAGGACUGAGAGGUAGCUCAGGACUGAGAGGUAGCUCAGGCUGGUUGACGGCUCUGCAAGCUUCUGGCUGACUGACGGCUCUGGCAGCUCCUGGCUGACUGACGGCUCUGCCAGCUCCUGGCUGGUUGACAGUUCUGGCAGCUCCUGGCUGGUCGACGACUCUGGCAGCUCCUGGCUGGUUGACGGCUCUGGCAGCUACUGGCUGACUGGCGACUCUGGCAGCUACUAGCUGACUGGCGACUCUGGCAGCUCCUGGCUGACUGGCGGCUCCUGGCUGACUGGCGGCUCCAAGCUGACUGGCGGCUCUGGCGGCUCAUGACAGACUGGCGGCUCAUGACAGACUGGCGGCUCAUGACAGACGGGAGACUCUAGCAGCUCUGGACAGACGGGAGACUCUAGCAGCUCUGCACAGGUGGGAGACUCUAGCAGCUCUGGACAGGCGGGAGAUUCUAGCAGCUCUGGACAGGCGGGAGACUCUAGCAGCUCUGGACAGGCGGGAGGCUCUAGCAGCUCUGGACAGGCGGGAGACUCUAGCAGCUCUGGACAGGCGGGAGACUCUAGCAGCGCUGGACAGAUGGGAGACUCUAGCAGCUCUGGACAGGCGGGAGACCCUGUAGGGAGGAGACAGAGAGACAGCCUGGUGCGUGGGGCUGCCACAGGACCCACCAGGCUGGGGAGAACUCCAGGAGACUUGGUGUUAGGAGUAUGCACCUGAAGGACCGGGCUGUGGGGGAGCACUGGAGCUCUGGUGUGCAGCCUUGGCACCACUCCCCCAGGCUGGAUAACUACUCUAGCCCGGACCCUCCAGAGUGCAGGCACAGGUUGAACCGGGCUGUGGGUAAGCACGGGAGAUCUAGUGCCUACUACGCGCACCUCUCUCUUAGGCUCCACUCCCACAUUUGCCCGGCACGAGUGGAGCUACACCCUCCCAGCACCCCGGAGACACAGCACGCAGAGCCGGCGCAGGAUACUCUGGAACGAAACAGAGUACCGGCGACCAGACACGCUGAGCAGGCACCAUACGCCCUGGCUGGAUGCCCACACUCGCAUGACACUUUCGGGCGGAUGCCCUAUAUUGCACCGGGCUAUGGGCACGUACUGGCGACACCGUGUGCUUAACACACGGUGCCUGACAAGUAACGCGCUGUUUAUAAUAAGCACGAGGACGGAGCUCAGUUCUGCUACCUGGCUUAGCCACACUCCUUGUGUGCCUACCCCCCAAAAAAAUAUUGGGGGCUGCCUCUCGUACCCGUCGCCCUGCCGUGCUGCCUCCUCAUAUCGCCGCCGCUCAGCUUUCGCUGCAUCCAGCUCUGCUUUGGAGCGGCGAUAUUCCCCAGCCUGUGCCCAGGGUCCUUCUCUAUUCAAAAUCUCCUUCAAUGUCAAGGAGUCUUGUGAUGCUGGCCGCUGCUGCUGCUGCUGCCGCUGUCUGUUACCACGCCGCUUGGUCCUUGGUUGGUGGGUGAUUCUGUAAGGGUUUUCCUCCUCCUCAUCUGAAGAGGAGGUGUAAGCAAGGAUCUGACCAAGAUGUGGAGUGGUAAGUGUCCAUGGUUGUUUUUUUUAUAAUAGAUUUAAUGGUUUAAUAGAUUUAAUGGUGCUCUGUGGGAUGUUCAAAGUUUCAGAUAUGUUUUUAUAGCCCAACCCUGGUCUUUACUUCUCCACAACUUUGUCCCUGACCUGUUUGGAGAGCUCCUUGGUCUUCAUGGUGUCGCUUGCUUGGUGGUGCCACAUACUUAGUGGUGUUGCAGACUCUGGGGCCUUUCAGAACAGGUAUAUAUAUUGAGAUCAUGUGGCAGGUCCUGUGACACUUAGAUUGCACACAGGUGGACUUUGUUUAACUAAUUAUGUGAGUUCUGAAGGUAAUUGGUUGCACCAGAUCUUAUUUAGGGGCUUCAUAGCAAAGGGGGUGAACACAUAUACACGCACCACUUUACAGUUGUUUAUUUUUUAGAAUUGUUUGAAAAAGUUAUUUUUCCCAUUUCACUUCACCAAUUUAAACUAUUUUGUGUAUGUCCAUUACAUGAAAUCCAAAUAAAAAUCCAUUUAAAUUACAGGUUGUAAUGCAACAAAAUAGGAAAAAUGCCAAGGGGGAUGAAUACUUUUGCAAGGCACUGUAUAUAAAAAAGAACCUAGGCAAUGACAUCAUAUUCUUGCAUUUUCUACAGAACUGCCAGAUGACCUGAGGGUGGAAGGCAACAUCUGUUCACCCAUGAACAGGAACUGGCCAUUGUCAAUCUAGUGUUGGCAAACAACACCAUCCGCCUACAUCAAGUACGAGAGCAAAUCAUCGCAGAUUACACAACAUUCAAUAAUAUCAACUGUGUCAGUAUGUCGACACUCUGCCGCAUCUUGCAUCAAUACCAACUUACGAUGAAGCAGCUGUAAAGCGUUCCAUUUGAGAGGAACAGCGUUAGAGUCAAAGACCUUCGCUAUGACUAUGUGCAAAGUCCUGGACUUUGACGCAGCUGCACAGCCUCAUGAGUUCAUUUUCAUUGAUGAAGCUGGAUUCAAUCUAGCUAAAACCAGGCGUCGGGGCCGAAAUGUUAAAAAAUAUCAAAGAAUCAAAGAAUGUCCCUGGGCAGUGCAAGGGAAAUAUCCCCUUGUGUGCCGCCAUCUGCAAGGAGUUCUCCAUCACCAUGCCACCCUAGGUCCCUACAAUACUGCACACAUAAUCAUAUUUCUGGAUGCACUACAUAAUGCAGUUGUACAGGAUGGACCAGAGCAACCUAGGUUUGUGGUUAUCUGGGAUAAUGUUAGUUUCCACCGGGCUGCUCUGGUCAGGGACUGAUUCACCAACCACAAUAACUUCACAGUUGUAUACUUGCGAUGUGUACUCCCCAUUUCUCAAUCCAAUUGAGGAAUUAUUUUCGGCUUGGCGUUGGAAGGUGUAUGACCGCCAACCACAUGCCCACCUGCCUCCUCUGCAAGCAAUGGAAGAGGUAUGCGGAGACAGAAGUGGGGUAAGUCCAGGGUUGGAUACGCAAGGCAAUAUUUUUCCCAUUGCCUAGCCAUGGAUGACAUUGCUUGUGAUGUGGAUGAGGUGAUGUGGCCAGACCCUAACAGAAGGCAGGAUCCAUAAACCAUCCACCCCAUCCCUUACAAUCCCUUACAAUACUAUUUUUAGUUUACCAUUGCACUGUAAUUUUACUGUAAUUAUUUUUGUUUCUUUGAGUUUACAGUAACAUAUUGUUUGAUUACUGUACUGUAAUUCUAUUUUCCUUUGUGCUUUUUUGUUGUUGUAAAAACCUGCAAUGGCAAAAAAAUAAGCUGGAUAUUUGUUUUCUGAAGCCUUUCUAGUUUUGUGUUAAUUGAAAUGUGAGUAGAUGUACUGUACUGAAACAAUCUUUCACAGAAGCCUGUAUGAGAAAAUUAAAAAGGAAUACAACGUACUAAAGACAGCAGUGUUUUGUAUAAAGUACAUCAGUGUGUUGUUGCUGCUUUGAAAGAGUCAUUCAAAUGGUGCAUGUGUGUAUCAUUUUGAAAAAGGAUUGUUAGGUUUUGAUUGCAGAGUUUCAUUUUGACAUAGAAGUGAGAUGUUUAUCUCCAAGUGUUGUGUCUUAUUUGGCUUGUGUGUAGAGUUUUGACACAAUGAGCCAAAUUCCGCAACAAGUGUGUGAGUAAUCGCAAAAUACUGUAAUCUGCUGAGGUGGAACAAAGGAGGAUGACACCAAUCAUCUCUGUCACCACACACACACAUACACACACAUACCAUCAACCCUUAAGCCCAAACAUAAUUUUCUCGCCAUUCUCAAUUAUGUCUUUGAUAACUUUAGAAAGGGAAAUUAAGUGUGUGUGUGUGUCUGUUCGUGUGUGUGCCUGCGUGUGCGUGCGUGUAUGUGUGUGACAAGCCUCAGCUCGUGUAAGGAGCUUUGUGAAGGAGAUGAGAGUUCAGCUGACAGUGGCUGAGGAUUAUCUGAAAGCAUAGAAACAGCCUUAAAGAGAAUGUGUGGGUGUGUGUGCAUGUGUGUAAAUUGUAAAGAGCCAUUUCCCUCAACAGGGACCAUCAAAGUUCUUAGCUUUUAUCUUUAAUUAUUUGAGAAAAGUGACUCCCAAAACACACUCAGCCCUGUCGAGAACAUUCAUAAAAUAAAAAAAUGUCUUGUCAGAUACAGAUGUAUGGUCUGCCUCACUGAUGAUGCAUAAUAACAUGCUUACCUAGAAUCCUUAGUUGAUACACCCAUUUUUGCACUAAGACAUUUAUGAUAUACAGUAUACCCAUUGAUAAUUGAAGAAUACAAGUUAUAAAUGCCUCAUGAGCUUAGUUCAGAACCCAAAAUAUAAGUUUGUUUUACUCCACUGUUUGUAGAUAAUGUAGAUAUUAAGAAACCUUGUGUAGCCUCAAAACAUGGUUAGAACUAUAAUUUUGAUAUCAUGGAUGGCCAGUCCUUGCAAUCCAUGCACUGUAAAACAAAUCCGCUUUGGAUCAACCUGAAAAGAUUACUUGAACUGGUUACAGGUAAAUAAGUUAGGUAUUCUCUGUUGAAAAAUACUAUAUUUGUUGAAACCAAAUAUAGGAUUUAAUGACACUGUUUUAUUUUAUUAUUACCUAACCUAUAUUUCAAGUUGCAACCUAUU